GGAGCAGGAGGAGUGGUCGCCCCCUAAACAUAGGGGGAGGAAAGUCCGAGCUCUACAGGGCAAGGUGCUCCGUAAUACGGAGUGGGGGCAACCCCAAGGAAAGUGCCACAGAAAGGGAAACCGUCCCGAUUUCUGUCGGGAUAAGGGUGAAAAGGUGAGGUAAGAGCUCACCAGUUGAGAUGGCAACAUCCCAAGCUUGGUAAACCCCGCCUUGAGCAAGGUUGAAUAGAUUCCGCCUUGAGAAGUGCCCCUUCGAAUCUUCGUCCCGACUUUAUCGGGAUCGAGGAGGCGGAAUGGGUAUAAACCGCAAGAGUUUGAUGGCAACAUCAGACCUUAGAUGAAUGACCACAUAUACAGAACUCGGCUUACAGCCUGCUCCGGCA
rnacentral:RNase_P_RNA from 2 species